rnacentral:snRNA from 1 species
CUGCUUGCUUCGGCAGCUCAUGUACUAAUAUUGGAACUAUACAAAGAAGAGUAGCAUGACCCCUGCGUAAAGAUGACACGCAAAUUUGUGAAGCAUUCCAUAUUUUU